UACGGAGGGUGCAAACGUUGCUCGGAAUCAUUGGGCGUAAAGCGCACGUAGGCGGUCCAGCAAGUCGGGUGUGAAAGCCCUCGGCUUAACCGAGGAAGUGCAUUCGAAACUACAGGACUUGAAUACUGGAGAGGAUCGCGGAAUUCCCGGUGUAGAGGUGAAAUUCGUAGAUAUCGGGAGGAACACCAGUGGCGAAGGCGGCGAUCUGGACAGAUAUUGACGCUGAUGUGUGAAAGCGUGGGGAGCAAACAGGG
rnacentral:rRNA from 1 species